rnacentral:rRNA from 1 species
CCUACGGGCGGCAGCAGUGAGGAAUAUUGGUCAAUGGGCGGAAGUCUGAACCAGCCAUGCCGCGUGCAGGAAGACGUCUCUAUGAGUUGUAAACUGCUUUUGUACAAGGGUAAACCUGAAUACGUGUAUUCAGCUGAAAGUACUGUACGAAUAAGGAUCGGCUAACUCCGUGCCAGCAGCAGCGGUAAUACGGAGGAUCCAAGCGUUGCCGGAUUUGUUGGGGGUAAAGGGUGCGUAGGCGGAUGGAUAAGUUGGAGGUGAAAUGCCCGAGCUUAACCCGGGAACUGCCUCUGAUACUGUUGAUCUAGAGAGUAGAUGAGGUAGGCGGAAUGUAUGGUGUAGCGGUGAAAUGCUUAGAGAUCAUAAAGAACACCGAUGGCGAAGGCAGCUUAC